ACGCUCUUAGUUCAAUUUGGUAGAACGCAGGUCUCCAAAACCUGAUGUUGCGGGUUCAAAUCCCACAGAGCGUG
rnacentral:tRNA from 1 species